rnacentral:pre_miRNA from 1 species
AUUAUCUAAGGAUCUUGCUAAAAUGCAGAUUCUGAUUGAAUAGAUCUGAGGUGGGACCCAAUAUUCUGCAUUUCUAAUAAGCUCCCAAGUGAUGCUAA